UCCUGUAGCUGGUCUUGAUAGGACGACCAGCCACACCUGGAACUGAGACACGGUCCGGACUCCAUACGGGAGGCAACCAGUGGGGGAAUAUUGGACAAUGGGGGGAAACCCCUGAUCCAGUCGAAC
rnacentral:rRNA from 1 species